UGAGACUGAUGCUUUCUGAAAUGAAUCUGGAAAUAGGUGUAUUCAAGUUAAAGUAUCCCUUAUUCGAACUGCUUGGAACUAGAAGCAUUUUGGAUUUUGGAUUUUUUCCCCCCAGACUUUGGAGUACCCGAAUUUGUAGAUGAGUACAUAAUGAGAGAUCUUGGAGAUGGAACCCAAGUCAAAACAUGAAAAUCAAACAAUCAAUCUGUACACAUUGAACCAUCAAUAAGCCAAGGUGUCCUGAUAUCUGCCACCUAUAUGGACAAUUUUGGGAUAUUUCAGAAUUCUAGAUAAUGGAUUUUCAUCCUGUACCAAUUUUUCUU
rnacentral:lncRNA from 11 species